UUAGUUGCUACAGGAUUGAGAUGGUUGCAUUGGUGCCAAAGGGUUGACAAUCAAACUGCUGUUCCUCUCACACAAAAAGGAGAAUUAGAACUAAACCUUGCAUACAUGAAUUAAUUACAGCGUGCUAGCAUUACAGGCUGGUAUGCAAGCUACUCGCUCGAUCGAGUAAGAGCAAGUAUAAUAGCAGGCUAUAAGUUGACUAAAAGGUUACGUGGAGGAGAGAGAAGAAAAGAGAAAGGAGCAGUGAGCUGUAAUUUU
rnacentral:lncRNA from 1 species